rnacentral:lncRNA from 1 species
UCCUGGUCUUCAUGUUCCAGGCACCUGCUGCUACUAUACUCCUUACUUGCUCACAGGUACUCCGAGUUCCUGAAAACAUGGGGCUUGCAGGCCUUUGACGACUUAAACAUCGAAACUGUGAGUCAAAUGGAUCAGCACCACAUUCCACUGGGGUGCUGACGUCCCUGGCCUCUGAGGAAGCUGCACCCUUGGCAUCGCUCCUGCCAUCUUGUUUCCAUACAGCAGCACAAAGCCCUCCUGUAGCUUUCUACUGUCUAGUGAGAGUCAUUUCCUUGGAGCGGUGCUCAAGUAUAUUGUGGAACACGGAUGCGCUGAGAGAGGGAAGGAACUCCUCCUCCCCCACGAAGAGCUGAAGGCAGCCUGUGGGACACAGAUACCACCUGGCUAUCGACUGAGUUAUUGGUAAAUGAAGGCCAUUUCUCCACGGAAAUCAGUUGGCACCAAAGUGAGCUGAAGCGGUGCCUACGUUGAAGGACAGCACCAUCUAGCGGGAGGAGAGCCACACAGGCGUGGACGCCCACUGGUAUGCUUUCCGCUUCUGUGUUUUGAACACUUCUAAGACUGAGGACCCCAUUGUGAAUACAGUGGUCUCCUUUCAUCACCGGCUUACCCAGAUAGUCUCCCGCUGAGCCUCAACACUGCGUUUUGCAAUGGUUUGCCACCUAAUAAUUAUAAUGAUGGCCAAUGUUUAUCGAGGUCUUGUUGUGAUGAAGUAUUAGGCUAAGUCCUUUCCCCAGGGUUUCUGUGUACAGUCG